rnacentral:rRNA from 1 species
CCUACGGGGCGCAGCAGUGAGGAAUAUUGGUCAAUGGCCGGGAGACUGAACCAGCCAAGCCGCGUGAGGGAUGAAGGUACAGAGUAUUGUAAACCUCUUUUGUCAGGGAACAAAGUCGGGGACGAGUCCCCGGCUGAGUGUACCUGAAGAAAAAGCAUCGGCUAACUCCGUGCCAGCAGCCGCGGUAAUACGGAGGAUGCGAGCGUUAUCCGGAUUUAUUGGGUUUAAAGGGUGCGCAGGCGGUCUGUUAAGUCAGCGGUCAAAGCCCGGGGCUCAACCCCGGCGCGCCGUUGAAACUGGCAGUCUCGAGUUGGAGAGAGGUAUGCGGAAUGCGCGGUGUAGCGGUGAAAUGCUUAGAUAUCGCGCAGAACUCCGAUUGCGAAGGCAGCAUGCCGGCUCCACACUGACGCUGAGGCACGAAAGCGUGGGUAUCGAACAGGAUUAGAUACCCGUGUAGUC